rnacentral:rRNA from 1 species
GGGUUGUGAGGUUAAGCGACUAAGCGUACACGGUGGAUGCCCUGGCAGUCAGAGGCGAUGAAGGACGUGCUAAUCUGCGAUAAGCGUCGGUAAGGUGAUAUGAACCGUUAUAACCGGCGAUUUCCGAAUGGGGAAACCCAGUGUGUUUCGACACACUAUCAUUAACUGAAUCCAUAGGUUAAUGAGGCGAACCGGGGGAACUGAAACAUCUAAGUACCCCGAGGAAAAGAAAUCAACCGAGAUUCCCCCAGUAGCGGCGAGCGAACGGGGAGGAGCCCAGAGCCUGAAUCAGUGUGUGUGUUAGUGGAAGCGUCUGGAAAGGCGCG